GAUGAACGCUAGCGGCAGGCUUAACACAUGCAAGUCGAGGGGUAUUGGUUUUCGGACCAAGAGACCGGCGCACGGGUGCGUAACGCGUAUGCAAUCUACCUUUUGCAGAGGGAUAGCCCCAGAGAAAUUUGGAUUAAUACCUCAUAGUAUAGUACUUUGGCAUCAAGGAACUAUUAAAGUCACAACGGCAAAAGAUGAGCAUGCGUCCCAUUAGCUAGUUGGUAAGGUAACGGCUUACCAAGGCUACGAUGGGUAGGGGUCCUGAGAGGGAGAUCCCCCACACUGGUACUGAGACACGGACCAGACUCCUACGGGAGGCAGCAGUGAGGAAUAUUGGACAAUGGGCGCAAGCCUGAUCCAGCCAUGCCGCGUGCAGGAUGACGGUCCUAUGGAUUGAAACUGCUUUUAUACAGGAAGAAACACUCCGACGUGUCGGAGCUUUGACGGUACUGUAAG
rnacentral:rRNA from 1 species